UAGGGAAUCUUCCGCAAUGGACGAAAGUCUGACGGAGCAACGCCGCGUGAGUGAAGAAGGAUUUCGGUUCGUAAAACUCUGUUGUUAGGGAAGAAAAAAUGUAUAGUAACUAUAUACAAAAGAGACGGUACCUAACCAGAAAGCCACGGCUAACUACGUGCCAGCAGCCGCGGUAAUACGUAGGUGGCAAGCGUUGUCCGGAAUUAUUGGGCGUAAAGCGCGCGCAGGUGGUUUAGAAAGUCUGAUGUGAAAGCCCACGGCUCAACCGUGGAGGGUCAUUGGAAACUAAUAAACUUGAGUGCAGGAGAGGAUAGUGGAAUUCCUAGUGUAGCGGUGAAAUGCGUAGAGAUUAGGAGGAACACCGGUGGCGAAAGCGGCUUUUUGGCCUGCAACUGACACUGAGGCGCGAAAGCGUGGGGAGCAAACAGG
rnacentral:rRNA from 1 species